UGUUGCUUGCAAGGGCGUAUGGUGGAUGCCUUGGCAGACAGGACCGAUGAAGGACGUUUGAGGCUGCGAUAUGCCUCGGGGAGCCGCCAACAGGGCUUUGAUCCGAGGAUUUCCGAAUGGGGGAACCCACCGACCGUCAUGGGUCGGUACCGGCUUCGGCCGGGGGGUACGCAGGGAAGUGAAACAUCUCAGUACCUGCAGGAAAGGAUAUUCCGUGAGUAGUGGCGAGCGAAAGCGGAUGAUGGCCAAACCUUGCGCGUGUGAUACCCGUCGGGGGUUGCGCGCGGGGUGUUGCGGGAUCGCGUGCGCCGGCUCCGACGGGCCGGCCGGCAGUUGCAGAAAACCAUGUGUCAGGGGAACCGGGUUGAAUACCGGGCCGCAGAGGGUGAGGGCCCCGUACCUGAACGCGCAUGGUCUGCCGAUCGCGUCUCCCAAGUAGCACGGGUCCCGUGGAACCCCGUGCGAAUCCGCCCAGACCGUUGGGUAAGCCUGAAUAUUCCUGUCUGACCGAUAGCGAACGAGUACCGUGAGGGAAAGGUGAAAAGUACCCCGGGAGGGGAGUGAAACAGUCUCUGAAACCGUGCGCCUACAAUCCGUCGGAGCCCUUUUGUGGGGUGACGGCGUGCCUAUCGAAAAAUGAGUCUGCGAGUCAGUGGCGGGUGGCGAGCAUAAGCCGUGUGGCGUAUGCGUAGCGAAAGCGAGUCUUAAAAGGCGUUUUUUAGUCGCUUGUCCUGGACCCGAAGCGGGAUGAUCUAGCCCUGGGCAGGUUGAAGCGCGGGUAAGACCGCGUGGAGGACCGAACCCACCUGGGUUGAAAACCGGGGGGAUGACCUGGGGCUAGGGGUGAAAGGCCAAUCAAAUUCCGUGAUAGCUGGUUCUCUCCGAAAUGCAUUUAGGUGCAGCGUCGGUCGAUUGCGUCGCGGGGGUAGAGCUACCGGAUGCUUGCGGGCCCUUGUUGGGUACCAACAGCAGCCGAACUCCGAAUACCGUUGACGUGUAUUCCGGCAGUGAGUCGGCGGGGGAUAAGCUCCGUCGUCGAGAGGGAGACAGCCCAGACCGUCGUCUAAGGUCCCGAAGCGUGUGCUAAGUGGGAAAGGAUGUGGAGUCGCAUAGACAGCCAGGAGGUUGGCUCAGAAGCAGCCAUCCUUGAAAGAGUGCGUAACAGCUCACUGGUCUAGUGGUUCCGCGCCGACAAUGUAGCGGGGCUCAAGCACACCACCGAAGACGCGGCAGCAAUCUUCAUGGUUGCUGGGUAGGAGAGCGUCCUGCGAGGGGCGAAGCGGCGGUGGAAACCGGCCGUGGACUUCGUGGGAGUGAGAAUGCAGACAUGAGUAGCGAGAGACGGGUGAGGAUCCCGUCCGCUGGAUGACCAAGGGUUCCGGGGCCACGUUCGUCGUCCCCGGGUGAGUCGGGUCCUAAGGCGAGGCCGACAGGCGUAGUCGAAUGGAUGAACGGGUGGAUAUUCCCGUACCGACCAUGGACCGGCAAAACCGAGACGGUGAGUACUAACCUCCGCCUCGUGGUGGUUCCUUCCUUCGGGUUGGUAUCGCCGCGUGGUGUUGGGACUGUAGCCGCAGUAGGUCAGCGCAGGGGUGACACGGAAUGGGAGCCGGCCGCGGAGGUGGUUUUCCGUGGUCAAGCACGCAGCCAGUCAUGUAGGCAAAUCCGCAUGGCGCGCAUGGCGAGGUGUGAUGAUGGGAGCCUUUUGGCUCGAUAUCCGGUUGUCCAGGCCGUCGAGAAAAGCCUCGGCGUGAGGGCCAUGGCCGCCCGUACCCCAAACCGACACUGGUGGUCAGGUAGAGAAUACCAAGGCGAUCGAGCGAAUCCUGGUCAAGGAACUCGGCAAAUCACUCCCGUGCCUUCGGUAUAAGGGAGACCCGCUGGGGUGAACCGGCUAGCCCGGGGAGCUUUGGUGGGUGGCACAGACCAGGGGGUAGCGACUGUUUACCAAAAACACAGGUGCAUGCGAAGGCGAAAGCCGCUGUAUAUGCACUGACGCCUGCCCGGUGCCGGAAGGUUAAGAGGAUCCGUCAACUCUUCGGAGCGAAGCGGUGAAUUCAAGCCCCGGUAAACGGCGGUGGUAACUAUAACCAUCCUAAGGUAGCGAAAUUCCUUGUCGGGUAAGUUCCGACCUGCACGAAUGGCGUA
rnacentral:rRNA from 1 species